AGCAGCCGCGGUAAUUCCAGCUCCAAUAGCGUAUAUUAAAGUUGUUGCAGUUAAAAAGCUCGUAGUUGAAUUUCGGGAUCAAUAUUUCGGUCAUGCCGUUGGUAUGCACUGUUAUCAUUGAUUUCUCACCUUCUAAAGAACCGUAAUGCCAUUAAUUUGGUGUUACGGGGAAUUAGGACUGUUACCUUGAAAAAAUUAGAGUGUUUAAAGCAGGCUCACGCUUGAAUACAUUAGCAUGGAAUAAUGAAAUAGGACAUCCGAUUCUAUUUUGUUGGUUUCUAGGAUCGAUGUAAUGAUUAAUAGGGAUAGUUGGGGGCAUUAGUAUUCAAUUGUCAGAGGUGAAAUUCUUGGAUUUAUUGAAGACUAACUACUGCGAAAGCAUUUGCCAAGGAUGUUUUCAUUAAUCAAGUACGAAAGUUAGGGAUCGAAGACGAUCAGAUACCGUCGUAGUCUUAACCAUAAACUAUGCCGACUAGGGAUCGGAUGAUGUUAAUUUUUUAAUGACUCA
rnacentral:rRNA from 1 species